AGGCACCAUACCAGGGCUUUCUGUAUUGUUUGUUUACACUUGAGGUAAUGAACAACUACUGGGUGUUUCUGAAUGCACAACUUCCUUUUUCAAAGAUUAAGUGCUUUUUGAUCACUGUCAUGUCUUGCAUGUUUGUUAAUCUAACAAGCCCGUCCAUUCACAAAUAUGUUCACAAUGUGAUUUUGGUACAGCAACUAUUAUCUGGCAAACAUGGAAACAUUUUCACUAUUUUGCCCCUGCCUGCCAAAUGCUUGUGCUAUAAUAAAAGGCAUAACUGUAAAAGGUGAACCUCAUCUCAUAUUGAAAUGGGGAGAAUCUUACAGCUUCAAUCCAUUCAAUUAAAAAGAAACAGUUUUACAAAAGAUUGGUUAGACUACAUUUGGAGUACUGUGUGCAGUUCUGGUCGCCACACUAUCCGGAGGCUGUGAUGAAGCUAGGGAGGAUGCAGAAAAGACUCACAAUGAUGUUGCCUGGACUGAAGGGCUUUAGUUCUAAGGAGAGUUUGGAUUGACUGGGACUGUUUUCUCUGGCAUGAAGGAGGCGCAGGAGUGACCUUGUCGAGGUUUAUAACAGAAUGAAAGGCAUACAUAGGGUAGUUAGUCCCAGUCUUUUUCCCAGGAUAGGGGAGUCUAAAACCAAAAGGCAUAGGUUUAAGGAGAGAGGGGAAACAUUAAAAAAAUAAUUGGGCAGGUACAUGGAUAGAAAAGGUUUAGAAGGAUACAGACCAAAUACAGGCAAAUGGCAUUAGCUUAGGAAGGCUUCUUGGUCAGCAGGGAUGUUAGACCAAAGGGCCUGUUUCCAUGCUGUAUAACUCUAUCAAUCUAUGCUGAAGAUUCAGAAGUUACUCCAAUCUCAUCAUAUUUUGGGAUAAACAUCAAGGUCGAUGUUUUAAAUGACCAAGCCUCCUGAUUUCUGAUGGGUAAAGAGAAAGUUCUGAGAGAGGUCAGCUCUGAAGGAGGCAGCAAGGAAUAAGUAUGUAAUAUUCAGCACACUUAUAUGCAGCUGGUUCUCAAUCCUGGACUCUGAGUGUUUGGGUCUGCUCAGUUAGGUAGCCUUCAAGUAUCACUGUAGCAGAUCUCCCAUAUUUAGUAUUACAUGUAUGAAGAUCAAUGUUACUGGAAGUGGAAAACGAUUAUAACAGUUUCCAGAGUGAAUUGCACCAUUCUGGACAAUUACUCCAGGAACAUUGUUCAGUGAACUGCACUGACAUGAAACAGUUGUUUUCUAUGUUGCACUUCCAAAUCCACCCAUCUUCAAGCCCUUAACCAUCAGUGUAGAAUUGUGGAACUAAGUUAGUAUGGUAGUUCCACAACUCUCAAAGUAACCAUUGUGGAUAUGCGCAAAUGUGUUUGGUUGACAAGCAAAAUGUAUUAUGGUCAUGCUGAAAUAGUACAUUUCACACAAUAUUCAAAAUCUUUGGGACAGUUUGCCCAGAUAUUUUCAGGCUACCAUUAUGGCAUUGUAUGUUUUUCAAUGAAAUCAAUAUGUUGAAUGGACAUAGUGAACAAGAAAUUCUAUUGACACAACAUUUAUGUGUGUGAUCCAAUAGAAUUUCAUUGCUAAACUAAUUGUGGAACAUGAACAACUACCCAUAAUCAUGAAGUUCACAAUUUUCUUUCUGAAUCUAUGAUGGACAUGUGCAACAUAUGUAGGUAGGGCACUUCAGCAAAAUAUAUUCAUGCAUGCGUGGUCCACGGAUCACAUGGUCCAUUUGUGUAGAUAAAGGCCUUCACAACAAAUAGGAGAUCUGCUACAGAGAUACUGGGCAGGUCCCUGGAUGUGGAGUCUAAGAAAUGAAAUCCAACUGCAAGUAGGUGCAUCGAUGUUGAAAACUUAAUUCCUUACUGCCUUGCUGCCUCCCUCAUGUCUCCCACCUGAUCCUAACCCCAAACAGACCAUUUCCUCCAGCACACUUCCCUGUCAACCCAAUUAUGACCCAAACCUUUCUGCAGCAAAACAAGACCACCAUGGAUGCGCUGACAUAGGGUCCUGAUUCUGCCCUCAGUUGGACUUAUGGUCAACCUUUAAGCACAUGCACAUGCACACACAGCCUCCCUCCUCCUGUAUUACCUUCCCCUACAACACACAUGCUACAUCUCGUAUGCUGGACUAUUAACCUUCCUGUAUUUCUUUGCUAACUUGUCAAUGGACAGCACUUAAAGAGCAUGGCCUGCUCUACUGUACACAAUGCCUUUGUUGAGACAUUUUACAAAGUAAGCUCUUGCCUGUAACAUGUCCCAUGCAUUUCUCAGCACAGAAGAGUUUACAGGUCAGGGUGUCACUGCUGACCAUCUGAAAAAUUCCAGAUCAUGCUGUAACCACUCCUUUUGUUUGCCUUAUUCUAUCCACUCUAUUUGCUUUACGAUUUGAGCAUUGAUUGGAGAGUAUAAUUCAUCAGUCAUGAUCAGGUGACCUAAGAAGUCACUGAAAGCAUAGUCUAGUAUUGAGUUUGUAUUUAUUGCCUGGUGCUGAUACUUUGGGCACUUGUGAAAUGCUUUAAAGAGAGAAAGACCCAGGCAGUCAGGAUUAAAUAACAAUUUAAGCAAACUGUGGUAAACUGUGCCCAAAACACGGUGUGAGUAGUCCAACAUAAGGACCACUCUAUAGAACUACUAUAACCUUCAGCAACAGAAAAUCAGUGAUGAAAAAUCAUAGUUCUCGGGGCCUUAUACAAAGCUGAAAUUUUGGUGUGGGGUUUCUUCUUGUACUUUCCGCAGAACCUAUCAGGUGCGGCAAUAGUCCUGAGAAAUGUGGAAGAUGUCAGGUAAAGAAGGGUCUCGCAUUGAACCUGCAGAAUCAGCGGGUGGUGUGGUGCAGGAACUGUGUUUGAUGACUAUCAGUGCUUCAACAUUAUUCCCUUCCAUUAUGGAGGCUGCAUUUUGACAAAGAGAGCUGUCUCAGAAUCACUUGAGAGAACAUAAAACAGUCUGCAAAGUCUGGUGGAAACUGAACAAACAUGCAGUUCAUCUCUUUGACGCUCUGACUUUGACUCAGAAGUUUUUGAAACUAUGGACUGUAGUGUUUGUCAAUCUUUCUUAUCUUGGAUUAAAUACAAUAUGGAAUCAAACUGACAGAACUCUGAGGUAGGUUUUUGCACUUCUCAUGGGUAACCAGAGCUAAUUCACAGAUCAGUGUUCAGACCUGUUUAGGAAAUACCCACUAGUAUAAAAUAGUACCAUGGAAUCUUUUAAGUCUGCCUGAAUAGGCAAGGCUUCAUUUUAACAUAUUAUCCAAAAGCAAUGGCAUUCCCAAGUCAGGAUCUAGGGAAGCAACAUGGCACCAUCUUUUUUCAAUUUUUUCUGAGUGUCCAGAUGUAGUAGAAUAUGGUGGCGACAAAUGGCCAUGUACAUUGGGAUGAGCUGGUAUUUUUCCUGUUUACACUUUUCAUGUUUCUUUUCCUCUGGGGUUUAUGAUGGAUGGAGUAUAGGUUGGUAAUUCAUGGGUCACCCCAAUAAUCAUCUAAAAAUGUGUAAUAUGAUGUUGUGGGUGUGUGUGCAUAUACACACUGUCAAUAACAUGAAAGACUUAUGAGUCCAAUCAUGAUUAGAAUGGUGCAAAUUGGAUCACAGCAUUUCACAUAUACUGAGGCUCCAGCUUGGCAAAAUCAUAUUCCUGAAGCUCCUGAGAAAGCACUCUUAAUCCAGGUGUCCCUUGAUAAAAAUUACAUACAGUAAGAUUGGUGGCUAAAGUUAACAGAAAUAUAGCCUUGAUUUCUGUAUCUGUUAAAAGAGAUAAUUAUACAAAAUAAGACAGUUUUAAAAAAAUUUCAACAAUAGUAACAUACAAUUCAUUGUGCAAAAAAAUGGAAAUUUCCAACGAUUCAAUCAUUGAUUAUUUACCAGCUACUGACGCACAUUUUACGUCAAGCAGGUAACCUAUUGUGCAAAAAAGGACCUUUUUAGAUAUUUUGAAAGCAAUUCAUUGUGCAAAGCGAACAUUUCCAAGAGUCAAAUAUUGAUUGGUUGACAUUAACCUAUUGAGUCAAUAAUUUCUAUUGAAUUAAUGGAAACAAAGUUUAAUGGAAAUUCUUG